GGGGGGGGGGAGAGGCGGCACGUGCCUUUCCCCUGACCACGGUGUAAGAUAUAUAUAUAUACCCUGAUUACGCCACUGGUGCCAACUCGCGCUUUUCAUCACCGCGUGCUCCGUGAUCAGCCAACAUUGCUCAGUAUACUUUCCUAAAGUAGCAGCUAAGGCUACGUAUGAAAGGGUGGUGGUGAUGAUAACUGAAAUGAAAAUAGUUAAAUUUUUUGGAGCCUUAUGUUUACAUCCUGCUCUUGGUUGCGUGAAGUGACCGGCAGUUGGUGGCGCUCGGAAGUCUGCGACGCUGUUCGUCCUUCAUUACCUCCUCGCUGUACCUCCUGUACUUCCUUCGUAGGGACGGGAACAUCAGCAUUUGCAUUAGCAUAUCCCGCUGUAUAAACAGCCUCCUAAAUGUCAGUUUGUACAAGUCGUAGGAAAUAUUACAUCCCCGUACCACACAUUAAGUGAGCCUAACAUUCUGUGCAAACGCUCAAGCAUGCACGAUGGUGUUGGCUUGUAACAUUUAUAAUCUUAAAUGUUAAUUGUUCGAUAUAGAUGCUUGUGCAUGACAACAUAUGGAAAAGUUAUACAUUAAACAACCGUCAUAACCCCGAAGAUAGAGACGAAGCCGUGCACUAUUAGCAACCGCGCCGACCGGAAAUCAAGCCACCGUUUUUUCGUGUCAGCAAGGGGAAAAAAAGCGAAAAAAAAAAAAAAAAACCCCGGGCAAAAUAAAGCGGGCAAGCAACAUUUCCUAACCUCAUAACGGCGUCAUGCAUGACUCAUUUGGUAGGGGCACACCUAAUAGAACAUGUUUUGAAUGAAACAACUCUAUUGUGCGCCACGCAAAUAGCGAGACUAGCACGAUAGGAGCCCGGGCCGGCAACCUCGCAGGUGCUUUUAUCAAUAAAAUUUUUUUCCGUCCGUAGGAAAAGCAGUGUGGCACUUUCGUAUGUUCGCGCCUUUGAUCACAUGGCAUUGGGUGACGUCGUCAAUGUGACGUCACAUACCACACACGUGGUAGAACCAGAACGCUGACUCUGGCAGUGCUGACUGCUCGUUCGUGUGCAUUUGCUGUGUGAAGAUGUUUGCGUUUGUGCAAUAUAAAUUCGAUGGCAAGACGGCUGUCGUGAAGCUCUCCGCUAUAAAGGAUUACACUCCUAAAAACGUUACCGAUUUUGAGUCUACGGGCCUGGGGACGAAGACGCCAUCGGCGAUUUUUAUGAAGCGCGAAUCCUGCAUCUCGCUGAAUCUGAGGAAGAGAUGUAGGCAUAGAAGGAAAAGCGUCCCAGGAAGGUUUUGGUGGACUUGCCACGAGGAAAGAAAAGGAGCAAGGAAAUGAAAGCCGAGUUGUCUAUGCCACAUUGUUUGAUGUGUCAGUGCGAGCGCAUCAGUACCCUGUGACACCUCCGAAUAUUAGAGG